AGAGUUUGAUCAUGGCUCAGAACGAACGCUGGCGGCAGGCCUAACACAUGCAAGUCGAGCGGGGACUUCGGUCCUAGCGGCGGACGGGUGAGUAACGCGUGGGAACGUGCCCUUUGCUUCGGAAUAGCCCCUGGAAACGGGGAGUAAUACCGGAUGUGCCCUAUGGGGGAAAGAAUUUCGGCAAAGGAUCGGCCCGCGUUGGAUUAGGUAGUUGGUGGGGUAAUGGCCUACCAAGCCGACGAUCCAUAGCUGGUUUGAGAGGAUGAUCAGCCACACUGGGACUGAGACACGGCCCAGACUCCUACGGGAGGCAGCAGUGGGGAAUCUUAGACAAUGGGCGCAAGCCUGAUCUAGCCAUGCCGCGUGAGCGAUGAAGGCCUUAGGGUUGUAAAGCUCUUUCGUGGGGGAAGAUAAUGACGGUACCGCAAGAAUAAGCCCCGGCUAACUUCGUG
rnacentral:rRNA from 1 species